GGGACGUUUUUUCUCUGUGUCGUGGAGAGUGGGUUGUCCUAAGAUGUAAUAUAAGCACGACACGACAGCAAAGGCAAUCAGUCAAUGUGUGAAGCUCUGGACACCUGACACCUGAAGACAUCUGAAGAUGUGAAGAUGAAGAUGAAGCGGUCCUGUGUCACUGCUGCUGCUGUUGCUGUUCUGGUGCUGGUGCUCUGCUCCCAGGGACAAAGCAAGUCGGUCGAUACACCAGAUAAAUGCCGUUUUGAGUAUUACACCAAGCGGAUUCCACUCGAAGCCAUAAAAGGCUAUAAAGUGACCAGCCCCAUCUGCCCCGAUAAGGGAGUCCUUUAACUUUGUGACUGUGAAGGACAAAGAACUGUGCGCCAACCCAGAGGUCAAGGAAGUCCAGUACAUUAUGUACAGAGUGAAGAAGAGGCGUCCUCUGCCAAAUUCUAUUAUUAGUCCCCGCUCCAUCAUUCCAUAAUCAUUAUUUUAUGAUUAUUAUUUUGCCAGCAUUUGGUUGGGGCUUUCCAUCCCUGGUGUCUGAACAAGACACAGUUCAACAAUGACCACAGUGUGGACUGCUGUCAUAUAGAUAACAUAUAUAUUAUAUACAUCAAGGGCAUGGCCAUUGUUUAUGUCAUGUGUGUGAUUGCAUGUCACUACUUUUAGUGUUUUUUUAUGUUUUAUUCUUUUUAUGAAUGCUUAUUUAUUUAUUGCACUUCAUCUCUAUUUUGUUUGAAUUCAUAAUUUCUGCCUUGUUAUCUGAACUUAUAUUUUAUUUCUGUUAUUUUAAAUCCUUUUUAUCCUUUUAUAAUUCUGUGCUCCUUUUUACCUAUGUGUGUACAAUGAACUCUCUCUGCCUUACGUUGUCUCAACUCCUGUUGUUUUAAAUGUGCUACACAAAUAAAGCGACUUGACUUGACUAUA